ACAGGCAGGCGACUCGGCAGGGCAACAGGCAGGCGACUCGGCAGGGCAACAGACAGGCGACUCGGCAGAGCAACAGACAGGCAGGCGACUCGGCAGAGCAACAGACAGGCAGGCGACUCGGCAGAGCAACAGACAGGCAGGCGACUCGGUAGUGUCAAUUGAUUCUUUAUUUCUCCUGCAGCUGAAUUAGACACAUCAUAGGUACAUCCUCCAUCUAAUGACAUAGGAACCAUCCCAAAUAGCACCCUAGUUCCUUGACAGUAAACCAUUUCUGACCAUGGGCCCAUAGGGACACAUCACAGAGGAUAGCCGCUAUAGGACUCUGGUCUAAAGUAGUGCACUAUAUAGGGAAUAGUGUGCCAUUUGGUCACAUUGGCUACUCAGCACAUCCUUCAAUGGUAACUUAGUGUUGUAGAGCCGAAGUCGCUUCAGAGACAAAAAAAAAACUGUUAUUAUUAC
ensembl:lncRNA